rnacentral:rRNA from 1 species
UGAGGAAUAUUGCGCAAUGGGCGAAAGCCUGACGCAGCAACGCCGCGUGAAGGAUGACGGUCUUCGGAUUGUAAACUUCUGUUAAGUGGGAAGAAAAAUCCGUUUCUAAUACAGACGGUAAUGACGGUACCAUUAGAGAAAGCACCGGCUAACUUCGUGCCAGCAGCCGCGGUAAUACGAGGGGUGCAAGCGUUAUUCGGAAUUAUUGGGCGUAAAGGGUGCGUAGACGGCAUAUUAAGUCAACUGUUAAAUUCCUCGGCCUAACUGGGGACCAGCAGUAGAUACUGAUGUGCUAGAGGAUGGAAGAGAGAAGUGGAAUUCUCGGAGUAGCGGUAAAAUGCGUAGAUCUCGAGAGGAACACCAAUGGCGAAGGCAGCUUCUUGGUCCAUUUCUGACGUUGAGGUACGAAAGCGUGGGGAGCAAACAGG